GGGUAGGUAGCUCAGUUGGUAGAGCAUUCGGCUUUUAACCGAGUUGUCACAGGUUCGAGUCCUGUCGUACCCA
rnacentral:tRNA from 1 species